AUCACUGAGCUGUCAUCUGCAGAAGCUCUGUUUAAAACGGUCUGCACGUGUUGUUUGAACCAGAGUCGUAGAGAGAGAGAGAUGCGAGUUGCGACAACUCCGUUCACUCCAAUGGACCAGUUGUUGUUUUUAUCACAGCGCAUCGUGGAGCCGCUCAGUAGUUCCUGGAAGUUAGCGCUCAUACUAUCAGCGCCGUAGAGAUGCAGCAGAAGAGACCGCUGUGACGAACUUUUAAAAGAACAAGAACCACCUGUAAUGAGACAUCACCCUCACAAUGAGUCUCUUCACUGGGCUUUGCAAGUCUUUCCCUGUUCUUGUGUCUAGUAUGAUUACAUCACAUUUUGUUGGUGUAAUCUAUAGAUUGCUCCUGCUGACUAUAUCCAGCCUCUUACGGAGACUUCAGAUGACCCAACACCUGUGAAGAGAUGACGCCAACCCUUGAGAGGACUUCAGAUGAAGCUGACUCUGAAUAAACAUACAAAACUGCUACAUUUUCCUUUCAUUAUCAGUAGGGAAACCAUACAUUCACACUCCUUUCUGUGAGUGGCUGGAGCAUUCAUAAUGCAGCACAGCAAACUAUGGUGGA